GCGUGUGGCUCAGUUGGCUGAGCACUUGCCUAGCUUGCAUGAAGCUCUGGGUUCGAUCCCCAGCACCGCA
rfam:Mus musculus chromosome 4, GRC primary reference assembly.